rnacentral:lncRNA from 1 species
CUUUCAUUCGAGGAAGGGGGUAGUUAAGAAAAUUAGUGUAAGUUUAAACUCUGAGAAGUUCCGGGCAUAUAAACGUUGAAAAUAUGCCGCACAGACCUAUAUUUUGACCUUUGAAAAAAAUUGUGGUGCAUAUGAACUUUCAAUUCUAGGAUAAGAUUUUUUUCAAACUUCAUAGUAAAAGUGGUACAGUUUUAGCCGUAAAAGGAGUUCCUAUGGGAAAUUGCAUUGUCAAUAUUUACAGAAAUGCCACCUAUAUAGGGUGAAAAAGGGGAACAUUCAGAAUUUAACCAAAUUUGCUUUAUUUCACAGAUUUUAAAGAAAUUAACUCAAAUAAAAGUUUUAUAAUUAUUUAAUGAAGAUUGAUAGAAUCCUGGGACUUAAAUAUGAUGACUCAGCAUAAAUUCACAGUUUACAGUAUGCAUAGUUUACUUAAAGUCCUGGAUACAAAAUUAAAUCAUAAUAUUUGCAUAUUUGUAAGUUAAAUUGUUAAGAAGUGCUAAUAUUUACUCUUCGCAGUCAUUGAAACUAAAAUAUCCUUCCUGAAUAUUAUUUAUGGGGUAUUUGUGUCCUUUCGAUAACCCUUUCGGUAAGCCGCAACACCUAAAUCUGUUUUUUUUUGUCACCACGGCAUAAUAAAUACAAGCUAGAAAAACAAAAAUAUCUCAAGAAAACUUACAAUAGUGUGUUCUAUCCUGAUUAUGUACUAAAUAUUCCAAAUUGCUAAAAACAGCAGAAUGAUUUAGGAAAUUUGAGGCCUCAGGGGCAAAAAACAUAGAAAAUUGCCUACCCCCUGGGUCAUAAAACAAAUAAUUUAACUUGUAAAUGCUAUGAUUUUACGAUUUUAAAGUUCUUGAUAUAGAAAACAAUAACUAUGCUUAGAAGUUAUGCAAAAAUCAGAUGUUAGUAGUCAUCUCUACAACAUUUUAAGUGAAUUUAUAUCUCAGACUGGUAUCUGCAUACAUACAACUAUUGCAAACAUGGCUUUGUUUGAACACUUCUACUAUAUAUAGUAGCUAAAUUGUGUCAGAUAUAUGGUUACAGAUGAUACUGUUGUGACAAGAAUUCUAAAUUGACCAUUUGAGGCAGAAAAUGAGUACUUUAAUUGACAAAUAGGCAUACAGUAAGAUGUGGACUAGAGAUAGAGGCUGGAUUGGAUACUUUAUAUAAUCUUGAAUGUUGUAAUGAUUGACUGCUAAACAUUACAUUUAUGAUAUUCUGAUAUGCUUUCAAUAUGUUAUCAAAACAGUUUUUAACAGGUUCUAGGCAUUUUUUUUUAUCAGAAAAUAUGCAAAUAGGGUAAGCUGGCAAUAAUUUUUUUUCAAAUUCUUUAAAAAAUUGAAACAUGGGAGGGGGUAUAAAAUGUAUAGUAAAGAAAAACUUAGAGUAUACACAGUGAUUUCUUUAAGUCUUUAAUUCUGAUAAAUGAGCAUUAAUGUGAGAAAAACUGAUUUUAGAGAGUUUUCUAUUUGAAUAAAUGUCUGUAUAGGUUGCACUUUGUAAAUACAGCUGUUUCUCAAAACACGCCUCUUUUGGGGAGUAAUUGAAUAUUCAUAGAAAAUUAAAUUUGUUUACAUACUGGUCCCCAGUUAUGUUCUCUGUGUUCCAUAUCGCAGAGACAGAACUUGGGAAUGUUACCAGUAAAUAAACACGUACAUAUUGUUUACAUUGAAAUCUGUGGUAACCUUUCAUUCGAGGUAGGGGGUAGUUAAGAAAAUUAGUGUAAGUUUAAACUCUGAGAAGUUCCGGGCAUAUAAACGUUGAAAAUAUGCCGCACAGCCCUAUAUUUUGACCUUUGAAAACAAUUGUGGUGCAUAUGAACUUUCAAUUCUAGGAUAAGAUUUUUUUCAAAACUUCAUAGU